UACGGGGGGAGCAAGCGUUGUUCGGAUUUACUGGGCGUAAAGGGCGCGUAGGCGGCCAGCACAAGUCAGUUGUGAAAUCUCCGAGCUUAACUCGGAAAGGUCAACUGAUACUGUGCGGCUAGAGUGCGGAAGGGGCAACUGGAACUCUUGGUGUAGCGGUGAAAUGCGUAGAUAUCAAGAGGAACACCUGCGGCGAAGGCGGGUUGCUGGGCCGACACUGACGCUGAUGCGCGAAAGCUAGGGGAGCGAACGGG
rnacentral:rRNA from 1 species